ensembl:lncRNA
AAGCCAUCUCUGUAAGCCAGCGCCAUAAAACAGCAUUUAAAGGCUAUCAAGUCCAUUUCGUGGCUGUGAGUCUCGACUGUUGUGCAGUGAAGUAGACGUCCUUAUUAUCUGAGUGCCAGUUAAAUGCUGCCAGCCUAAUGUGUGCAUGGGAGAAUUGCUUUUUUGUGACUGGGGUGCUUAUUUUACUGCUCACACGUCAGCUAGGCACUGGCCUUCAUCCAGACCACAUCUGCAAACUGAAGAAUAGCGAAGGCCCUUGGUUCCAGAAGCGUGUGGUGGUGGCUAACAGCCUUUAGACCUAUCUGAACAGCUCUGUUAGCCCCCAGUGGCAGGAACUUCACUUCUUCAACUAGAAAUGUGCUAUGGAAACUCUGGAAACGAUGACAGUGACGUUAAAAAGAAGACCCAUUUACAGUCAAAGCUCUUUCCACAUUAUGCCACUGGCUGCUAUGUUCACAACACAGCCAUCCUGCAAAGUAUUGUUGAGGGUAGCCAUGCCUUUCUUCUUGAGAAUCUCUUUUCUCUUUGCCUUUUCUGCCGAAGUGGGAAAGGUGGCAGAAAUAACUUCACCAGAUUGUAAAAGUAAUAUAAGGAAAAGCAGUAAGAGAAAAGAGGGCCAAAGCAGUUGCUCUUUCUGGCAAGGAAGAGGUAAGCUGUGGUUAUGUGGUGGUGCAGACAUUUUUAAUCUACUUCCACUCAUAUCCUUUAUCGCAGAGGAAUAUCAGGUGAAAAUGCAUGAGCCAGCUGUACCCGUGCCAGCUUGUGUCCAGAAGCCUCACUGGCUUGAUGAAAGGAAUGGGUGGAGUGAUUUUCCAGUUUGUGUUGAGGGAACACCACUCCAUUAUGAAGCCUUCCCAAAAAAUGAAUGUCUAAUCUUCUUAUGACUCUUCUAAGGAAAAAUAAUUUCAGCCUGAAGAACCUGUUAUUAACUCUAUGCAAGUCAGAGAUUUCCUACAGAAAACAAUGGCUGAAGAUUUCUUGUGCACACACUGGAGAAAUUGGUUAUCAUCUGGAGGAUGGAACGUGAGAUCCAUUGAUCUGUUUUUCAGCUCUUUGGGCUAUAAUUUCUUCUUACCAACAAACUGUAAUUCUCAAAUGGUUGAAGAAUAUAAAACAGUUAAGAGUCUGAUUCUGGAAAAUACUUGAGUACCUAUGGACCUCUCUUUGAAAACAACUGACUUCAAAGAAGUGCUGUUCCAAAUAGGG